AGGCCAAACAGAAGUAAAAUUGACGCUAGAUGGGCUGCGUCCUGGGAUAGAUUUAAGCAGCUAAAGGAGCAAGAGGCAAGAAGAAGACAACAAAGAGAAGAGCAAGGAUGAAAGCCCAAGAGGCAGUGGAUAAAGCUGAUCAAUUGACAAGUGAGGGACAUGAGGUCGAAGGUAGCAUCAUUGA